rnacentral:rRNA from 1 species
UGGGGAAUAUUGCGCAAUGGGCGAAAGCCUGACGCAGCAACGCCGCGUGCGGGAUGAAGGCCUUCGGGUUGUAAACCGCUUUCAGCAGGGACGAAACUGACGGUACCUGCAGAAGAAGCCCCGGCUAACUACGUGCCAGCAGCCGCGGUAAUACGUAGGGGGCUAGCGUUAUCCGGAUUCAUUGGGCGUAAAGCGCGCGUAGGCGGGCUGUUAAGUCAGGUGUGAAAACCGGGGGCUCAACCCGCGGCCUGCACCUGAAACUGGCAGCCUCGGGUCUGGUAGAGGAAAGUGGAAUUCCCAGUGUAGCGGUGAAAUGCGCAGAUAUUGGGAGGAACACCAGUGGCGAAGGCGGCUUUCUGGGCCACGACUGACGCUGAGGCGCGAAAGCUAGGGGAGCAAACA